rnacentral:rRNA from 1 species
GACGAACGCUGGCGGCGUGCUUAACACAUGCAAGUCGAGCGGUAAGGCCCUUUCGGGGGUACGACGAGCGGCGAACGGGUGGAGUAACACGUGGGUGGACCUCGCCCUCCAGCUCUGGGAGUGAGCCUGGGAAACCGGGUACUAAUACUGGAUAUGACUCCAUGACGCAUGUUGUGGGGUGGAAAGCCUUGUGCGGCUGAGGAUGGGCCC